rnacentral:rRNA from 1 species
AUCCUGGCUCAGAAUCAACGCUGGCGGCGCGCCUAACCCUUUCAAGUCGAACGAGAAAGCGGGAGCAAUCUCGCAAGUACAGUGGCGUACGGGUGAGUAACACGUGGAUGAUCUGCCCUGGAGUGGGGAAUAACGCUGGGAAACCGGCGCUAAUACCGCAUAUUCCCGAGAGGGGAAAGCAGCAAUGCGCUCGAGGAGGAGUCCGCGGCCGAUUAGCUAGUUGGCAGGGUAAAAGCCUACCAAGGCUAUGAUCGGUAGCCGGCCUGAGAGGGCACACGGCCACACUGGCACUGAAACACGGGCCAGACUCCUACGGGAGGCAGCAGUGGGGAAUCUUGCACAAUGGGGGAAACCCUGAUGCAGCGACGCCGCGUGAGUGAUGAAGCCCUUCGGGGUGUAAAACUCUUUCGGCAGGGAAGAUGAUGACGGUACCUGCAGAAGCAGCUGCGGCUAACUACGUGCCAGCAGCCGCGGUAAUACGUAGGCAGCAAGCGUUGUUCGGAGUUACUGGGCGUAAAGGGUGUGUAGGCGGCCUGUUAAGUUCCGUGUGAAAUCUCCCGGCUCAACCGGGAGGGUGCGCGGAAAACUGGCGGGCUAGAGUGCGGGAUGGGAGAGUGGAAUUCCUGGUGUAGCGGUGAAAUGCGUAGAUAUCAGGAGGAACACCGGUGGUGUAGACGGCUCUCUGGACCGUAACUGACGCUGAGACACGAAAGCGUGGGUAGCAAACAGGAUUAGAUACCCUGGUAGUCCACGCCCUAAACGAUGCAUAUUUGGUGUAGGUCAUUCAGUUGAUCUGUGCCGGAGCUAACGCGUUAAAUAUGCCGCCUGGGGAGUACAGUCACAAGGCUGAAACUCAGAGGAAUUGACGGGGGCCCGCACAAGCGGUGGAGCAUGUGGUUCACUUCGACGCAACGCGAAGAACCUUACCUGGGCUCGAACGGCUGGUCUACGAUCGUGGAAACACGGUUACUCCGCAAGGGGGUCCAGUCGAGGUGCUGCAUGG